rnacentral:rRNA from 1 species
CUUGGUCAUUUAGAGGAAGUAAAAGUCGUAACAAGGUUUCCGUAGGUGAACCUGCGGAAGGAUCAUUAUCAUGUCAUUCAGUCAUGCUGCCGCGUGAACUGUACAAAUCCACCCCGUGUACCUAUUCCUGUUGCUUCCGCUGGGCCCGGAGUAUUUUCAGAGGAGUUGUUGCCCUCUCUCACAUGAUCAAUAUCUGUGCAUAGAGAGAGUUGACAGUUUUCUGGGGCUGCUCGGGAUUCACAUGCCUGGCGGGAGGAUACUUAAUCUCUGGGUUUACUAUUCCAUCUGUCUGAACUAUGAACCAAAAAAAUGUUAAAACUUUCAGCAACGGAUCUCUUGGUUCUCGCAUCGAUGAAGAACGCAGCGAAAUGCGAUAAGUAGUGUGAAUUGCAGAAUUCAGUGAAUCAUCGAAUCUUUGAACGCACAUUGCGCCUUUCGGUAUUCCGGAGGGCAUGCCUGUUCGAGAGUCAUUGACAACCAUUUCUAUUCCUUUUUUAGUAAUAUUCAAGGGCUUGGUUGUGGUGGAUGAGGCGAUGUAUACGCUUGUUAAAUUACCUCCCCACCGAAAUUCAGAGGCGGUUUGUCCCCACGUGUUUGUGGCGUUGUAAAAGCUCUCCAGUACUUUCCGCUUGCAAUCGUGGGUUCAUGGCUUGCCAUUUGAGAAACCCCCAUAUAUAUCAAAGGUGCCCGGUCCMACGAACCU